UCAGGAUGAACGCUGGCGGCGUGCCUAACACAUGCAAGUCGAACGAGCGAGAGAUGAAACCUAGUGAUUCUCGAGCGAGUGGCGGACGGGUGAGUAACGCGUGGGUAACCUGCCUUACAGAGGGGGAUAACAGUCUGAAAAGACUGCUAAUACCGCAUAAGCACACAGUACCGCAUGGUACAGGGUGAAAAGAUUUAUCACUGUAAGAUGGACCCGCGUCUGAUUAGCCAGUUGGCAGGGUAACGGCCUACCAAAGCGACGAUCAGUAGCCGACCUGAGAGGGUGAUCGGCCACAUUGGGACUGAGACACGGCCCAAACUCCUACGGGAGGCAGCAGUGGGGGAUAUUGCACAAUGGAGGAAACUCUGAUGCAAGCGACGCCGCGUGAGUGAAGAAGUAUUUCGGUAUGUAAAGCUCUAUCAGCAGGGAAGAUAAUGACAGUACCUGACCAAGAAGCCCCGGCUAACUACGUGCCAGCCGCCGC
rnacentral:rRNA from 1 species